AUUGAACGCUGGCGGCAGGCUUAACACAUGCAAGUCGAGCGGAGAUGAGGUGCUUGCACCCUAUCUAGCGGCGGACGGGUGAGUAAUGCUUAGGAAUCUGCCUAUUAGUGGGGGACAACAUUCCGACAGGAAUGCUAAUACCGCAUACGUCCUACGGGAGAAAGCAGGGGAUCUUCGGACCUUGCGCUAAUAGAUGCGCCUAAGUCGGAUUAGCUAGUUGGUGGGGUAAAGGCCUACCAAGGCGACGAUCUGUAGCGGGUCUGAGAGGAUGAUCCGCCACACUGGGACUGAGACACGGCCCAGACUCCUACGGGAGGCAGCAGUGGGGAAUAUUGGACAAUGGGGGGAACCCUGAUCCAGCCAUGCCGCGUGUGUGAAGAAGGCCUUAUGGUUGUAAAGCACUUUAAGCGAGGAGGAGGCCACUGAGACUAAUACUCUUGGAUAGUGGACGUUACUCGCAGAAUAAGCACCGGCUAACUCUGUGCCAGCAGCCGCCGUAAAAC
rnacentral:rRNA from 1 species